rnacentral:rRNA from 1 species
ACUCAAAUGAAUAGACGGGGGCCCGCACAAGCGGUGGAGCAUGUGGUUCAAUUCGACGCAACGCGAAGAACCUUACCUGGGCUCGAACGGCAUUGGAUCAGCGAUAGAAAUAUUGCCUUCUCGCAAGAGACCGGUGUCGAGGUGCUGCAUGGCUGUCGUCAGCUCGUGUCGUGAGAUGUUGGGUUAAGUCCCGCAACGAGCGCAACCCUUGUCCUGUGUUGCCAUCAUUUAGUUGGGCACUCUCAGGAGACCGCCAGCGAUAAGUUGGAGGAAGGUGGGGAUGAUGUCAAGUCAUCAUGGCCUUUAUGUCCAGGGCUACACACGUGCUACAAUGGGCGGUACAAAGCGCUGCAAACCCGCGAGGGGGAGCCAAUCGCAAAAAACCGUCCUCAGUUCGGAUCGCAGGCUGCAACUCGCCUGCGUGAAGCUGGAAUCGCUAGUAAUGGUGUAUCAGAAUGAUACCGUGAAUACGUUCCCGGGCCUUGCACACACCGCCCGU